UACGAAGGGGGCUAGCGUUGCUCGGAAUCACUGGGCGUAAAGGGCGCGUAGGCGGCCACGCACGUCCGUUGUGAAAUCGCCCGGCUCAACUGGGCGGGGUCAGCGGAUACGGUGUGGCUCGAGCAAGCUAGGGGGCAAUGGAAUUCCCGGUGUAGUGGUGGAAUGCGUAGAUAUCGGGAGGAACACCAGUGGCGAAGGGCGGCUCUCUGGGACGGUACUGACGCUGAGACGCGAAAGCGUGGGGAGCGAACAGG
rnacentral:rRNA from 1 species